rnacentral:rRNA from 1 species
GACGAACGCUGGCGGCGUGCCUAAUACAUGCAAGUCGAACGCACUCUCGUUUAGAUUGAAGGAGCUUGCUCCCGAUUGAUAAACAUUUGAGUGAGUGGCGGACGGGUGAGUAACACGUGGGUAACCUGCCCUAAAGUGGGGGAUAACAUUUGGAAACAGAUGCUAAUACCGCAUAAAACCUAACACCGCAUGGUGUAGGGUUGAAAGAUGGUUUCGGCUAUCACUUUAGGAUGGACCCGCGGUGCAUUAGUUAGUUGGUGAGGUAAAGGCUCACCAAGACCGUGAUGCAUAGCCGACCUGAGAGGGUAAUCGGCCACACUGGGACUGAGACACGGCCCAGACUCCUACGGGAGGCAGCAGUAGGGAAUCUUCCACAAUGGACGAAAGUCUGAUGGAGCAACGCCGCGUGAGUGAAGAAGGUUUUCGGAUCGUAAAACUCUGUUGUUGGAGAAGAAUGUAUCUGAUAGUAACUGAUCAGGUAGUGACGGUAUCCAA